CAGCCGCCGCGGUAAUACGUAGGGUGCAAGCGUUAAUCGGAAUUACUGGGCGUAAAGCGUGCGCAGGCGGUUCGUUAAGACAGAUGUGAAAUCCCCGGGCUUAACCUGGGAACUGCAUUUGUGACUGGCGGGCUAGAGUAUGGCAGAGGGGGGUAGAAUUCCACGUGUAGCAGUGAAAUGCGUAGGGAUGUGGAGGAAUACCGAUGGCGAAGGCAGCCCCCUGGGCCAAUACUGACGCUCAUGCACGAAAGCGUGGGGAGCAAACAGGAUUAGAUACCCGAGUAGUCCCUGUCUCUUAUAC
rnacentral:rRNA from 1 species